AUUGAACGCUGGCGGCAGGCCUAACACAUGCAAGUCGAGCGGAAACGAAGGGGGCUUGCUCCCAGGCGUCGAGCGGCGGACGGGUGAGUAACACGUGAGAAUCUGCCCAUUAGUGGGGGACAACUCGGGGAAACUCGAGCUAAUACCGCAUAAUCCCUACGGGGGAAAGCAGGGGACCUUUUGGCCUUGCGCUGAUGGAUUAGCUCACGUCGGAUUAGCUAGUUGGUGAGGUAAAGGCUCACCAAGGCGACGAUCCGUAGCUGGUCUGAGAGGAUGAUCAGCCACACUGGGACUGAGACACGGCCCAGACUCCUACGGGAGGCAGCAGUGGGGAAGCUUGGGCAAUGGGGGCAACCCUGAUCCAGCCAUGCCGCGUGUGUGAAGAAGGCCUUCGGGUUGUAAAGCACUUUCAGCAGGGAGGAAGGCUUUGGCCGAAUAGGUUGAAGUACUUGACGUUACCUGCAGAAGAAGCACCGGCUAAUUUCGUGCCAGCCGCCGCCGUAA
rnacentral:rRNA from 1 species